UUGAUCCUGGCUCACGAUGAACGCUAGCGGUCUGCUUAACACAUGCAAGUCGAACGGGCUCUUCGGAGCUAGUGGCGGACGGGUGAGUAACGCGUGAGGAUCUGCCUUCAGGAGGGGGAUAGCGACUGGAAACGGUCGCUAAUACCGCAUAUGCCUACGGGUGAAAGAUUUAUCGCCUGGAGAUGAACUCGCGUCAGAUUAGCUAGUUGGUGGGGUAAGAGCCUACCAAGGCGACGAUCUGUAGCUGGUCUGAGAGGAUGAUCAGCCACACUGGGACUGAGACACGGCCCAGACUCCUACGGGAGGCAGCAGUGGGGAAUAUUCCGCAAUGGGCGCAAGCCUGACGGAGCAAGACCGCGUGCGGGAUGACGGCCUAAUGGUUGUAAACCGCUUUUCUCUGGGAAGAUGAUGACGGUACCAGAGGAAUCAGCCUCGGCUAACUCCGUGCCAGCAGCCGCGGUAAUACGGAGGAGGCAAGCGUUAUCCGGAAUCAUUGGGCGUAAAGCGUCCGUAGGUGGUCAUUCAAGUCUGCUGUCAAAGCGUGGGGCUUAACUCCAUAGAGGCAGUGGAAACUGGAUGACUUGAGUGCGGUACGGGUCGAGGGAA
rnacentral:rRNA from 1 species